GAUGCAGGCCGAGCGGCCGCCCCGUCAUUUGUUUUUUGGCUCCCUUUUUAGGUGGAGGCUAGAUUUAUCAGAGUGGAUGACGGGGAGGAAAGUCCGGACACCAAAGAGCAGGGUGCUGGGUAACGCCCAGUCGGGGAAACCCGCAGGCAAGUGCCACAGAAAGCAAACCGCCUGCUCGGCGGCGCGGGGCAGGUCCCGGGAUUCCCGGGACCGGGUUCCGCGGCGCUGGCGGGUAAGGGUGAAAGGGUGCGGUAAGAGCGCACCGGAGGCGUGGUGACACGUCUGCCAGGUAAACCCCACCCGGUGCAAGGCCAAAUAGGAGGGCGCAAUCGGGUUGCUCGCCCGGCCCUCGGGUAGGCUGCUUGAGGGGCGCGGCAACGCGCUCCCUAGAUGGAUGGUCGCAUAAAACAGAAUCCGGCUUACGGGCCUGCCGCCCUU
rnacentral:RNase_P_RNA from 1 species